GAUCAUGGCUCAGGAUGAACGCUAGCUACAGGCUUAACACAUGCAAGUCGAGGGGCAGCAUGAACUUAGCUUGCUAAGUUUGAUGGCGACCGGCGCACGGGUGAGUAACACGUAUCCAACCUGCCGAUGACUCGGGGAUAGCCUUUCGAAAGAAAGAUUAAUACCCGAUGGCAUAGUUCUUCCGCAUGGUAGAACUAUUAAAGAAUUUCGGUCAUCGAUGGGGAUGCGUUCCAUUGGG
rnacentral:rRNA from 1 species